CACACCCAUACACACACACACACACACGCACCCACACACACACACACACACAGACACAGACACACGCAGACACGCACACACCCAUACACACACACACACACACGCACCCACACACACACACACACACAGACCCUCACACACACACAUGCACACACAAACACAAACAUACACACUCACAUCCAAACGGAGGCUGAAGACAGACAUUUUGGAGCAACUUUGUUAACAUUUAUUGCGUAAAUCUCUGGAAUGCCGUAUAUAUGGAUCGCAGGAGAUGCGUUUGGUUUGUCCCGCUCUGCAAAGCGACGGCAAGGUUGCCGGGUUACGACACGUACUUCCUGUACACUCCCCUUCUGGCCAGGUCGUGACGUUCUGCAACCAGCUGCCAGACGUCCACGAGAACGAGACCUGCCGCGGCUUCCUGCUGGACGUCACCGUCGAGGAGUCGCAAGACAGUAGGCCGAACUUACGCCGUCAACCUCUUCAGUGACCAACACGUCAGGCCUCUCCAACAACAAAGUGUGAUGGGAGUGGCAAACAUGUUUCUCCUUGGUUGUGCCUCCCUAGCUACCAUACGCAAGGCACUAUAUGAAGUUUGGAUUAGGCGAGACACUCCUGACAGUCUUAAUGUACCUAUUUGGUUUUUUGAUGAAUUAUGUUUUUCGGUUUUGGCCUAUGAGUAUAAUUUCCAGAAAACAGAUUUUUACACAAAGCAUUACAUUUACGUACCUGCGCAUUCUUCAACACUUCAACAAUCUGUGAAGAUCCAGUUCAGAACUAAUUAUAUUUCUGUGAUGUGUCUGUGUGCAGGGUAUAUGUGGUAUAUCAUUUUUUGGUGCGAAAAUGUUGAAAUUACGUUGGAAAAUUUAAAAUAGAUCAAGAUCAUUUGAAUGGUUCAGAUAUGAGCUCACGUCAUGCUCGUGGUUGUGUAUGACAAUUGUAUUGUUAGCUUUUAUGGACGGGGCUCCCAAGUCUGAGACAAUGCGACGUGAGGUAGGACAGGGAACAGCUGCAUUCUGUGCGGGUUCUGAGCUGCCUACAGGAACUUUCCCCCAGCGAGCGAGGCCAGGGGGCUAACGGUCACAUCACAGGGUGGAGAGGUCAAAGGGCUGGUGGCUUUCAACAUGAGGAAAUCAUCUGGAGCCAUUCGCAUCGCCACCUUUAUUACAUUGCAUUACAUGCCAUUUGUCUGACGCUUGUAUCCAAUGCGACUUCCAAUUGAUUAGACUAAGCAGGAGACAAUCCUCCCCUGGAGCAAUGCAGAGUUAAGGGCCUUGCUCAAGGGCCCAACGGCUGUGCGGAUCUUAUUGUGGCUACACCUGGGAUCGAACCACCGACCUUGUGGGUCCCAGUCACGUACCUUAACCACGACGCUACAGGCCGCCUCCUUUAUGGGUUGAGGACAUUGUGAUCAGUAAUGUGUUACUAGACCAAUGUGUUACCAGAAAAGAAAAUUGUGAUUUGAAAAUUUCUACAAUGGUUGUCUUUCUCUCAUAUGCUCUCUCUCUUUCUUUCUCUCUCUCUCUCUCUCUCUCUCUCUCUCUCUCUCUCUCUCUCUGUAACUCUCUCUCUCUCUCGCUCUUCCUGUAUCUCAGUUGAAAUGCUUAUUAUAAUGUUUCGGACAAAAACCCAAAUAACACACAGUGUGAAGUACAGGAGUGAACCAGCACAGAGUUUCUGAGCAGUUUUCUCAUUGGUUGGAACAAAAACCAGCAGACGGAGCAGCCCCCCAGGACUGGAGGCCUGUAUGUGACCCCCCCUCCCCCUCUCCCUGUAUGCCCAACAGGUCCCUGCAACAGUCUGACGUCAGAAUGGUGGUCCUGGACAUCACCAUUCCCACAGGCUUUGUCCCUGACAAUAAAGACCUUGAGAUGGUAGGAAGUGCAUUGUGGGAACUAUCUGGUAGACAGGCAGACUUCUCCUUGUGUCGGUCCAUCAACGGUGUAUUUUGAAACCUGAAUUCAAGGACUAUAAGCACAGGCACAGGACCGCCGCUGCACCAAGUUCUACAACCCGCUCACAGAGGGGGCGGAGCUACAGAAGAUCUGCAGCAAUGACACCUGUCAUUGUGCUGAGGGUACACCUACACCCUGGGGAAGAGGAGCUGGGUGGAGCGGUGGCCCUCCGAGGCUGAAUGCGGGGGUGACGUGGGACUCGCCAAGAGGUGCGCCCAGCUGGCUGCGGUUAUCUCUGUCCUUAUGGAGAAGGGCUGCCUGUCCUGAGUGACUAAAACUAUGCGGCUUUGCCAAAAUUAUAGAGCCCCGUCCCUGGAUUCAUGGGACCCCGGCAUACCUCAGACCAUUGUACCAUUCCGCAGUGUAAAUACACACAUUGCCAUGCACUGAAAACUAUACCAUAGUAUACUGAAUAGUGAAUGUGAUUGUGUGGCUCUCCAAAUAUGUUUUCCAUUACAUGCCAAUAUAUUACAUGCCAGGUUUUAUUCAGAAGACAUUCUCUGUCAGUUAUAUUGAUAUGCAUCCCACUGAGAGAAAGGUGGCUACAAUUGUAUUUAUGCAUUUCCUAAUGUGACAAUAAAACAUAGUUCAAUGCAAUUUAAGUUUUAUCUCUUUCAGCUGUAUACAGUGACACAAACGCACGGAUUGUGUGGGCUUACAGACCCUCCAGCAU